UCUUUUUAAUACAAUGCCUAAAACUACCUAUAGCCCUUUCCCAACCCUUAAAUAGAAAUGUACGGUAGAUGUUUCAAUAACAUAAGGCUCCUAACCAAUAAGAAUAGCAUGUCAAGCCUUUUCAUCCAUUUAUUUGAUGAAUUCCUUCAUUCUAGCCUUCUAAUAGACAUUAGAUAAAUGCAUUAAACAUAGGGGGUGAAAAACAAAUGAUCUUUCCAUUUUCGACAAUUAUCGAUACAAGUAAUACACUUGUUUUGUUCAAGAGGGAAGCUUUGAUACCAAUUUGAAAAGACAUCAAUAAUUAUAAGAAUAAGGUAAGUAGUGAUAUGAGUAGUGACACAUGCAUUAGGCAUUAGAGUGUAACUGUGAUAAACAAAGAAAAACAUAAACUAGUUGUUUAUGCAACUCGAUUUUCCUACGCCUAUGGCACCUUGCCAAGAGAGAUAAUCUAUUAUCUUUUAGUCUUGUACAACAUGCUCACCUUUGCACCUAAAGAUGUAGAUCACUCUCCUCUAAGUUCUCUUCUAAAAACUCAAGCAGUAAACAAACCAAAACACUUAUUUACAUUUUCAAUGCAAACAUAAUCACAAGUUCUUUAAUGAACAUAUAAGUGCUAUAACUCUUCGUAUAUGACCUAUACAAGUCUUAAGCGUAUAUACUUGUUUCAACUUAUUAAUAUACUAAAUCAAUUACAAUCAAUCCUCCCUUUUGAAAAGCAAUUGAAAUAACAUAUACAAUAUAUUAAUAAAGUCUAAAAUACUGAGGAAAUAUCAAAGAUAAGUCUUCAAGUAGUCUCAAUCCAAUCUUCUAAUUUCAGGGGAUCCAAUUGCUUGAUCUAAUAUGAUCCAAUCUUUAAAAUAAGUUCCCUGAAAUGGAUUAGUCUUAAAAUAUUGGCUAUCACACAUCCCAAGUAUCAGUAAGAAUUACAACCCAAACAUUUUGUUUCGAAAUAUUGCUGUAGAGGCCAAAAUUUGACCAGGCCCACUUUACAACUCUUAACCCAAACAAAAUAGACCUAAACCCAUACACGGCCCAAAUCAAAACCCAGCUCAAAAACUCAACAUUUUUUGGAACCUUAGGGUUCCCCUCCCUUACGUGUGUCGCUCCUCCUAUGUCAGCCCCCGUCCCAUCGCCCGUACGACCAGCUCCUCUGACACCUGCAAAACCAAAACAGCAAGCAAAACAAAAGACAACAGAGGCAGAAACAAUACAAAGCAGAGAUUGAAGAGUAGCAAGGACAAAAAAAUCACAUGUAAUGCCUCGGCUAUAUAGCCAAAGAACAAAAAAUGUAAAAGGGGGGAAACUGAUUGUAUUUGAGGAAAGGGGGAACCGAUUGUAUUUUUUUGGGGGGUUUAUUUUUUAUUUUUGAAUACAAAAAAAAUGGAAAUAACAAAAAAGAGAUUCAUUCGAAGGUAUAUCUCCAUGCUUUUAGCCUAUACGCAUAAAAAAUAAUACAUAUACAUAUGGAUAUAGAAAGGGCAGGAUUUCUUACCUUUUUGGGUGGUCGGAAAGAAGGGAACCGAAUGGUUUUACCAUUUUCUUUCAAAGAUCGUGCCCUUUUUGGGUGUUUGAGACUCAGAUCCGAGGCGGGGAGGGCCAAAGGGUUAAAAUGGGCCACUUUUGCACGUCCGGCCGCCGUACACAGCGGUCGCCGGUGACGGACGGACGACGGUCCAAUCGCAGGAGGUGGGAUGCCCAGAGAGAAUUCCUCCCUUUCUUUCUUUUUUUUUUCUG
rnacentral:lncRNA from 1 species